rnacentral:rRNA from 1 species
UUAUUGGAGAGUUUGAUCCUGGCUCAGGACGAACGCUGGCGGCGUGCCUAAUACAUGCAAGUCGAGCGGACAGAUGGGAGCUUGCUCCCUGAUGUUAGCG